AUUCCAGCUCCAAUAGCGUAUAUUAAAGUUGUUGCCGUUAAAAAGCUCGUAGUUGAGCCUUGGACCUGGCUGAUCUGUCCUCCUAAUCGAGCGCACGGAUUCGGUCGGGUCUUUCCUUCUGGGGAGCCCUAUGCCCUUCACUGGGUGUAGUGGGGAACCAGGACUUUUACCUUGAAAAAAUUAGAGUGUUCAAAGCAGGCCUUUGCUCGAAUACAUUAGCAUGGAAUAAUAGAAUAGGACAUCGGUUCUAUUUUGUUGGUUUCUAGGACCGCUGUAAUGAUUAAUAGGGAUAGUCGGGGGCGUCAGUAUUCAAUUGUCAGAGGUGAAAUUCUUGGAUUUAUUGAAGACUAACUACUGCGAAAGCAUUAGCCAAGGAUGUUUUCAUCG
rnacentral:rRNA from 1 species